GACAGAGGGUGCAGACGUUGCUCGGAAUCACUGGGCGUAAAGGGCGUGUAGGCGGGACGGUAAGUCGGGCGUGAAAUCCCUAGGCUCAACCUAGGAACUGCACUCGAAACUACCAUUCUUGAGUGUCGGAGAGGAAAGCGGAAUUCCUGGUGUAGAGGUGAAAUUCGUAGAUAUCAGGAGGAACACCAGUGGCGAAGGCGGCUUUCUGGACGAUAACUGACGCUGAGACGCGAAAGCGUGGGGAGCAAACAGG
rnacentral:rRNA from 1 species